CUGGCGGGGCGCCAGGCUCGGCGGGUGACGCUGCGUUUUGGAGCCGCAACCGACUGACUCACUUUUUCCUUUCGGGCCAGGAACCCGGCUCCGGCCCUUCCAGAAACUUCCCUGGGCCCCGGGGGGUGGGUCCCCCCCCCGGCCUCUCCCAGCAGGGGGUGCUGUCCCCUGACCCCUGCCCCCAGAUCUUCCCUGGGAGGAGAUGGGGCGGGGGGUUCCCAUUUGCACUAGUCAUUUUCCAUUUUGCGCCACUGACCCCCUCCCCCUCUGCACUAGCCCCUUCCCCGCUCACAGCCCCCCGUCUUUCUCCAUCACCCCCUUCCUUCACCUCUGGGACCGGACCCCCCCCUUGUAGGAAUUGGGACCCCGGAGCUGGCUCUGGGGUGUUGGUUCACCCCCCACAGAUGGCAAGGUGGGGGGGUGGUAUAGGAAAAAGUGGGGGUAUCCCCCCAAAAAAAGAGACCCCUAAUGACUGUGGUUCAAAUGACUCCAAAAGUGGGGGGCUCUGCCAUGAGCCCCUCGGCCCCCCAGCCUCGCCAUGAUCCCUCCCCCUAAAAUCCACUCCUCNNNNNNNNNNNNNNNNNNNNCCCCCUAAAAUCCACUCCUCUGCCCCCCUGUCUGCUUCCUCUGCCUGUGCCCCCCAAAUCCUGCCCCUCUGCUAUCCAGCUGCACCGUCACUCCAAUCCAUCUGGCCCCCCCAUGCACCCUCUCUGCCCCCACAAACCAGCACAUUUUAAACCAUCCGGUCUCUGGGUAGAGGGUCGCAUUACAGAUCUUUGGGGGGGGACCUGUCUCCCCUUAUUCUGCAGAUCUUACCCCCAAGUGCCAGUUUCCCCUCCUCCCCUUCUUUUGGGGGGACCCCAUGCACCCCUAUUCCUCUGUUCUAGGUGCCCCAUGCACCCCCAUGGGGAGCGGGGUCUGCACCCCUUUGAUCCCUGACAUCUGGGUAGCUGUGCGGGGGCGGGGGAGUUGGUCCACUCUCAGAAUCCUUAGUUGCCCCAUUAGGAGAGCGGGUCAGAUUUGGGGGAGCAUAGGGGUGUGCGGAUUUCCCUGGGGGCUGGGAAUCAGGGGUUUGUCCCCAUAGCUGGGAUGGGAUGAUCUCCCUGGCUCAACCUGUGGGGAGGGGCUAAGGAGGAAAUUUGUCCCCUCACCUUGCCCCCAAACCAACCCCUAAAAUUCCUCCCCCCCCAAACUGGUCCGUGACCCUUAUGGACCAUUGGGCUGGGGAGGGGAGCAGACAAUCCCCCUGCCCCAAUUCCAAGGACAAGGAGGGGGUGUCUAUCACUUCCCUCCCCCCCCGCCCUAGCUUUCCAGCCAGCAGGGGGCAGUGCUGGGCAUGAAGCUUUGAUCUCCCUGGGGGGCUUUCCCAAGCCGGCUGAUACCCCCUGCACUAGCGGGUGUGCCGCGGGGCUGCAGGAAAAUGCAACC
rnacentral:lncRNA from 1 species